rnacentral:tRNA from 1 species
GUCCGUAUUGGUCCACUUGGCGAUGGGAAAGCGCGUCAGCAGCGCGUUGCCAUGGUGGCCGUGGUCGUAUUGUGCGUUCAGGCCGUAGGCGGACU